UCCCUCACCCCGCCCCCACAACCCGAAAUCCCCUCCCCAAUAUGCUGCUCCUCCUCCUCGCCAUCCGACCUCUGUUCCGGGAAUAGGGGGGGAGAGCCCCCCUCCCAACCUGACUGCUUCGCCCGGAAGUGGAGCUUCCACUCCGGAUUGCUGCUCUGCGCCGUAGCUCUAGAGACGCGCGCUUUCGGAAAGGGGAGGAGGGGCAGCAGGCGACCCCCCCCCCCCCGUGGAUGUUGCAGGAAAGGAAAGGAGAAUCUGGAGUGAGGAGAAAGAGGUAAAGGGGUCGUGGGGGGGGGGGAGGACAGAAAAGGACCCAGGUAGGGACGCCGCGCCAGCUCCCCAGAGCGCCUUUCAUGCGUCCCGUCGGCAUGGCCUAGAUCCCUGCAUCCGUGCUGCGCCUUGGCAGCGGCGGACAUGGGGCGCCCACCGAGGGGGUCCCCACGAGGGCCCCUUAGUCCCGUUUCCCCCACGCAGGGAUCCCUGUGGGAUUUGCACGGAGAAAGGCGGGCCAUGAAAGGGUUAACGGGUGCGAGGGACGCCUGGAUAGAGACCCCAGUGUGGCUUCCCUCUUGCAAGCUGCAUCCUCUUCACGCCCCCAUAAACCCCUGCACUGCCCAGUCGCUGGGGUUCAAAUCCGGAGAGGAAGAGGGGAGGGGAGAGGCCUUCUCAGAAGCGGCUCUUGGUUUCCGCAGUCCCCCCCCCCCCCCGGGAAUCAGCCAGAAACCUUUUCCUCUCUCUCAGGCCUCCAUCUUUAAUGUCUUUUCCACUGCCUGGUUCAUUGAGGAUGAGGAUAAUGUACACUUGUCAUCAGAAACAGGGGUGCAGAGUCCAUGGAAUGGCUCUCAGGCUUGAUAUAGAAGUUGCACCUCAAAAGCCUUUCUGUUCCUCUUAUUUUUUGUAGGGAGUGUCAGAUUGACUGACAAGCUGAGGUUCUUCCCAGUCAAAGGACCCAUUUUCAUGAUAGACAGUGCCUGUGGCUGGAGGCUCUACAUACAAGGUGUGCCUAUACAGGCCACAAACUGCCAGUAUUAGCACAGGUGAGGUAUGUGACCUCCCCUAAUUUACAGACUGUAUGUGAAUGAGAAGUAGUGGGUGGGAUUACAGUUUAUGGCAGCCCUGUGAUUUUCUCCACCCAUGACACUUUGUGAGCUGAUAUUGCAGUACGAAAUCCAAGAAAACUACAAAAGAAUAACAAUAUAAUAAGAAUGAUUGUAGUAUUUCUACCUUGCCUAACUGGCUCGGUUUCCCCCGCCACUCUGGGCAGCUUAUAGUACACAUAAAAGACGGUAAAACAUCAGACAUUAAAAACCUCCUGAUACAGGGCUGCCUUCAGCUGUCACCUAAAUGUCAGACAGCUGCCCAUUUCCUUGCCCUCUGCCUGCUUCCCUGUAACUUCGCUUCUCACGGGGUGUGGGGGGGUGAACCAGCAGAAGACCCUCGAAGGAGGACCUCAGUGUACAGACUGAGCGAUGGGGGUGGAGACACUCCUUCAGGUCUAUAGAGAGUGAGGCUGUAGGGCUUUAGGUCAAUGAUCUUGCUCCUCCAUAAUGAUUUCCACAGCAAGUCCGACAUACAAUUAGCAGAGUAGGAAAUAAAGCUCAGAGACAGCAAAAAAUUCCUUCAGCAAAUACAUUUGUGACUGAAGGCAUAACAGGAAUCUAUGCCUUAAAAAUGCAACCACAGCAAUUUAAAGGUCAGCACCAACAAUGUGAAUUGUGCUCAGGAAUGUCCCGGAGUCAAUGAAGAUCCUUUCGGACUGGUGUUAUGUUGUCUCAGCGGCUGCUCCCCUUCUGUUCACUAGCUGCCACAUUCUGGAUUAAUUGCAGUUUACGAGUCACCUUCCAAGAUGGCCCCAUGUAGCGCAUGGCAGUAGUCCAAGCGGGAGAUCACCAGAAUAUGCACCACUCUGGGGAGACAGUCUCCAGGCAUGGAGGGUCUCAGCCAGCGUACCAGAUGGAGCUGGCAGACAACUGCCCUAGACACAGAAUUGACCUGCGCCUCCAUGGACAGCUGUGAGUCCAAAAUGACCCCCAGGUUGUGCACCUGGUCCUUUUGGGGCACAGUUACCUCCAUCAGGUCUAGGGCGUCUCCCACACCUGCCUGCCCCUUUCCCCCUGGGGCAGUAUUUCUGUCUUGUCAAGAUUCAACCUCAAUCUGUUAGCCACCAUCCAUCCUUCAACUGCCUCCAGACACUCAUACAGUACCUUCACUGGUUCCAAUUUAAAAGAGAGGUAGAGCUUGGUAUCAUCCACAUACUGGGGAACACCCAACCCAAACCCCCCUGAUGAUCUCUCCCAGCGUCUUCAUAUAGAUAUUAAAAAGCAUGGGGGAGAGGAUGGAGCCCUCAGGAACCCCACAAGUGAGAGCCCAGAGGUCUGAACACUCAUCCCCCAACACCACUUUCAGGACAUGGCCCAGGAGGAAGGAGGGGAACCACUGCACAUGGUCAAAUGUGCACAUACCAUGGUCAAAGGUCUCCAAAGCCGCUGAGAGAUCCAGCAGAACCAGGAAAGAGCUUUUUCCCCCUUGGACUCUAGCCCAUCGGAGAUCAUCAAGCGGCGCAACCAGGGCAGUUUCCGUCCCAUGAUGAGGCCUGAAUCCCAAUUGGAAGGAUAAUGGUGGCAGAAGCUUUCCUGGUCCUGCCCCUCCAAAAGCUCCAGGCCCAAGACUUUCAUUAGCUUUCAAGGGGCCAUCGGAGAUGCUGGAAGGAGGUGUGCAGGACACCAUCCAAUUGUUUUAGAGAGUCCAUUCUGGAUUUGUGUAGGUUCCCCCCCAUAGCCUUCUCUUCUCCUGAAGAUAACUCACAAGGCAGCGAAGGUUUAGGAUCAGAGCUUUGCUUCUCGAUGGGCUUCCUUCCCCGGUUGACAAUCACAUCUGCCCUUCACUUUCCUCUGCAGCAUGGGCGGAAUCUGCCUUUUUGACUGUGGGAUUCACUGUUGUUCUCCUCCUCUCCAUCCACCAGGGUCUGCCUUCACCUGCACCAGAAUUCCCCAACCCACCAAGCGUUUGAGACCCAUCAGGUAUCCUCACCUGGUUU